GUUAUUUUGGCAGAAUUUAUGCAAUGAGUUUAGAAUUCAUGGAUAUAUAAUUUAAAAUAUAUAAAUAAUA
rnacentral:tRNA from 1 species